GACGAACGCUGGCGGCGUGCCUAAUACAUGCGAGUUGAGCGCUGAAGGUUGGUACUUGUACCAACUGGAUGAGCAGCGAACGGGUGAGUAACGCGUGGGGAAUCUGCCUUUGAGCGGGGGACAACAUUUGGAAACGAAUGCUAAUACCGCAUAAAAACUUUAAACACAAGUUUUAAGUUUGAAAGAUGCAAUUGCAUCACUCAAAGAUGAUCCCGCGUUGUAUUAGCUAGUUGGUGAGGUAAAGGCUCACCAAGGCGAUGAUACAUAGCCGACCUGAGAGGGGUGUCGGCCAAAGUGGGACUGAGACACGGCCCAAAAUCCUACGGGAGGCAGCAGUAGGGAAUCUUCGGAAAUGGACGAAAGGCUGACCGGGCAACGCCGCGUGAGUGAAGAAGGGUUUCGGAUCGUAAAACUCUGUUGGUAGAGAAGAACGUUGGUGAGAGUGGAAAGCUCAUCAAGUGACGGUAACUACCCAGAAAGGGACGGCUAACUACGUG
rnacentral:rRNA from 1 species